rnacentral:misc_RNA from 1 species
CAGGAUCAACCAGGUAGCAUUCCUCACUGACAAUGCUCGACGGGGCACGCAAAUGCCACGACGAGAGUCGUUCAGUUGGGAAAAAAUCGCUAGUUACGGGCCGAGACGAGACUUUGCUGCCGUACCCACAUGUAUUUUCCGCAUCCGAGAGCUCAAGCGAAGAGUUCAUGGACCACAACAACAACGAUUGCGAUUCGAGUUACGCGGGGCACAAACGACGCUUCGAGGUUCACCGCGUCGAAAGCCAUAAACAAAUGGGCAGACGUCGGGUGAAUUAUACACGAAUUGGCGACGUAAUUCCGUAUAAUAGGAAUGCAACACAGGAAACCAACGAGAACGUUCGGCCAAGGCAAGGCGCUCUUGUACCACCAAAUGAAGAGGAAGGCAAGGCCGGUCGUCUAUGCCCGAGCAAUGAUCCAACCAACCCAUACAAGA